AGAAAAGCGGGGGAGGGAAGGAGAGGGGCGGAGCUAGGGGCGAGGGGCGGGAGGAGGGGUGUGGCGAAGGGAGGAGCUGGACCUGAAGCGGGUCCUGAACCGGAUCUGAGCGGGACCUGGGCGGGAUCGGGGGCGAGGAGGAGAAAGCUGGCGGCAGGGUUUUUCUGUGCUGGGUACCUACGUCCUAAAGUGAAUCGGCCGCUACCCUCCAGACUCUCGCUUAAACUUGCGGCAGGGCACAGUUCUCCAAACCAAAAGCUGAAAGCAGUUUGGCUUAUAGAUCUAAAAAAUGAGAAAACAUGAGGGUACCAUCUGUCUUCCAGUGACUGGGGCCUGAUGUAAAGAACUGGGAAGUGGCAUACAAACUCUGAUGAUGUCUGCUCUGCAGUUGGAGCACAUGUGAAGCAAGGUCCUGCAAGACCUGAAGACCUUAGCUUCUGAGAACAGUGGAACUGAUCUCUUAGACUUCAUGGGAGAGUUCCUGGAUAAACAGAACACAGACUAUCUGGAAUACCAUCCUGGUGGGCAGAAGGAAUUAGAAGAGCUGGCCCAAAGGGUAUCUGUUUGAAAAGCCUGCUAAAGCAUCAGGUAGAGACAAGUUCCGAGGGCAACACAGCAAGCCUUCCCAUUGUAGUAGGUCCCAAAGUCAGCUACCUAAGAAUCUUGACCUCCAUUUGACAGAAGACUGCUUUCACUUUUAUCUAGUAUCCUCGUUGUGCUUGAAAAUAAAUCUGCUUUGCAGCGAAAAGCUCAAUUAGCUUCACUUCUGUAACUGCACUUUAGGACUGGAAAAGGAAAUGACAAAGAUAAACCCCUUUUCUUCCAUCCCAAUUCUGAGGGGGGUAGGGGCGCAGGGAGUAGAGUAACAGAUAAUGAAGAAACACAAUGAAACCUGAGUCCUGGUGGCUCACAAUGGCUGCCACUGCUGACAUCCUGUCAUUUCUAUUCAGGCUGAAUGAAAAAUUAUACGGUCAUCCUAGAUGUAAAUCAUUUCCAUCCCAAAGGAAAGAAUGGGAGAAAUUUGAAUAUUCUGUACUCAGUACCCAGAUAGAAGAAAGGGGGCGUCAACUUUGCUGCCAUCUUUUUGUUUGCAAGGCUCAAACUGAUAAGCUUCUUUUUCUUUUGAAGUAUGUGGUGUAUGAUUAAUCUGAAUGAAAUAUGAGAAGCCUAGGGAGAUUUG